rnacentral:rRNA from 1 species
GACGUAGGAGGCGAGCGUUAUCCGGAUUCACUGGGCGUAAAGCGCAAGUAGGCGGUUGUGAAAGUCCGUUGUUAAAGCCCCCGGCUCAACUGGGGAGGGUCACGCGAUACUGAUCGACUCGAAGGCAGGAGAGGGUAGUGGAAUUCCCGGUGUAGUGGUGAAAUGCGUAGAUAUCGGGAGGAACACCAGUGGCGAAGGCGACUACCUGGCCUGUUCUUGACGCUGAGGCGCGAAAGCUAGGGGAGCAAACGGG